GCGUUGAGCUGCCGAGACCGGUGAGAUUCGGUUGGAUGGGGGUUGUUGUGAAGCUGCUGGGAACACGUGAAGCAACGUCAUCAUAAACAUUAGUAGCCAAGAUGGCAGCUCCGGCAGGGGGAAAGAUUGUAUAUGAACAAGAAGGAGUUUUCAUUCAUUAUUCAAGUGAAAAUGAUGAAGAUCAUGAUGCUUUACAAUCUGGGUUAUUGCGAGUCAUUGAAAAGAUUACACAUCAAAAUGGUACUGAGGUAAUAAUAGAUUGGAGACCUCUGGAUGAUUCAUUAGACUCUUCCAAUAUUCUAUAUGCUAAAAAGGUAUGCUAAUUAUUUGUAGCAAUUUUUGUAACACUUUAGAA